GACGAGGGGUCCUAGCGUUGUUCGGAAUCAUUGGGCGUAAAGCGUGUGUAGGCGGCCUUGUAAGUCAGUUGUGAAAGCCCCGGGCUCAACCCGGGAAGUGCUUCUGAUACUGCGAGGCUUGAGUACUGGAGGAGGAUAGUGGAAUUCCAGGUGUAGUGGUGAAAUACGUAGAUAUCUGGAGGAACACCGGUGGCGAAGGCGGCUAUCUGGCCAUGUACUGACGCUGAGACACGAAAGCGGGUGGGAGCAAACAGGG
rnacentral:rRNA from 1 species